UACGUAGGAUGCAAGCGUUGUCCGGAAUUAUUGGGCGUAAAGAGUUCGUAGGUGGUUAUCUAAGUCUGGUGUUAAAGCCCGGAGCUCAACUUCGGCAUGGCAUCGGAAACUGGAUGGCUAGAGUGUGGAAGAGGUAACUGGAAUUCCUGGUGUAGCGGUGAAAUGCGCAGAUAUCAGGAGGAACACCUGUGGCGAAAGCGAGUUACUGGUCCAUUACUGACACUGAGGAACGAAAGCCAGGGUAGCAAAAGGG
rnacentral:rRNA from 2 species